AAUCCAGNCCUACGGGGCNCAGCAGCGCGAAACUUUACAAUGCGGCANCGUGAUAAGGGAACCUCGAGUNCCGUACAUGCGGGCUGUCCAGNUGUNUAAAGCACNCNGAAGAAAGGCCCGGGCAAGACCGGUNCCAGCCGCCGCGGUAAUACCGGCGGCUCGAGUGGUGGCCACUUUUAUUGGGCUUAAAGCGUUNGUAGCUGGGUCGGUAAGUCUCUUGGGAAAUCUGGCAGCUUAACUGUCAGGCGUNUAAGAGAUACUGCUGAUCUUGGAACCGGGAGAGGUGAGGGGUACUUCGGGGGUAGGAGUGAAAUCCUGUAAUCCUCGAGGGACCACCUGUGGCGAAGGCGCCUCACCAGAACGGCUUCGACAGUGAGGGACGAAAGCUGGGGGAGCAAACCGGAUUAGAUACCCGGGUAGUCCCAGCCGUAAACGAUGUGCGUUAGGUGUAUCAGUGACCACGAGUCACUGAGGUGCCGAAGGGAAACCGUGAAACGUACCGCCUGGGAAGUACGGUCGCAAGGCUGAAACUUAAAGGAAUUGGCGGGGGAGCACCACAACAGGUGGAGCCUGCGGUUUAAUUGGACUCAACGCCGGGAAGCUCACCGGAUAAGACAGCGGAAUGAUUGCCGGGCUGAAGACUUUGCAUGACUAGCUGAGAGGAGGUGCAUGGCCGUCGUCAGUUCGUACUGUGAAGCAUCCUGUUAAGUCAGGCAACGAGCGAGACCCACGCCANCAGUUGCCAGCAUGAUCUCCGGAUUGAUGGGGANACUGUUGGGACCGCCUCUGCUAAAGGGGAGGAAGGAAUGGGCNACGGUAGGUCNGCNUGCCCCGAAUUAUCCGGGCUNNACGCGGGCUACNAUGGGCNGGACNAUGGGNANNGACGCCGAAAGGCGAAGG
rnacentral:rRNA from 1 species